CCGGAUAAUGAAAUCCUCCUUUUCUCAGUCAGGGAUCAAGGUGAUCCUGCUGACUUUGUCUGGGUAUUUCAAAACACUGGCAGGGUGGAUCACUUUGAUCCCAAUCCGACUGGAUACGGAUUUCCAAAUCUCACGACUCCGCCCCCGGAUCUGAAACGUUUCCCCUUUGGGGGCGUGGCUUUCAGAUUAUGACCAGCCGUGCUCUGUCUCCACGGCGGAACACUUCACGAAAGGAGCAGUUGGUAGCACAGCUUUCGCAUCAAAAUAGCAGACUGCUGCAGUAUUGGAAAAACACACAGUACUACUAUGAAUGAUGCGGUUCAUUCAGAAGUGUCAGAGGAUUGAGUUUGGAAUACACUCACACCCAUGGACCACUCUGCAAUGCCACUGCUAAUCAAGACAACAGGUCGAGUGCUGGAAAUCCCUGGAAAUGUAUCCCCUUAUGUGGAAGGCUCCCACUAAACAUAUAGCACUAUAGCAUCUGAUUUGAUGAAGUAAAAUAAUAAGUUUGUACACACAAACACUUUCUGAAAUACAUUGCUGCAUGUCAUUAAAUCACAGUCAAGCACUUCCCAGGCAUUUACAAGGUGCAUUUUCAAGCUUAUCUAAAUCAAGUAAAAUGUGCCUUCAUUAAAUCAGCAGCAUGAAAAUAUACAUUGAACGUGCUUAAAUGUGAUUAUCCUGUGAAGUGAGGACAUAUGUGAAGUGAGACAUACAGCAAUGUCUUGCAGGACAUAGUUGAGCUAUCACUCCCCCCCCCCCCCCUCAAACAUAUGAUGUAACACUGGAAAAAUGCAAGUGCACACAUAUCAGAGUUCAACCAUUUAAUUGGAAAAAUAAAGAUUAACCAUGGCA